rnacentral:rRNA from 1 species
AGCGAACGCUGGCGGCAGGCCUAACACAUGCAAGUCGAACGAACCUUUCGGGGUUAGUGGCGGACGGGUGAGUAACACGUGGGAACGUGCCUUUAGGUUCGGAAUAACUCAGGGAAACUUGUGCUAAUACCGAAUGUGCCCUUCGGGGGAAAGAUUAAUCGCCUUUAGAGCGGCCCGCGUCUGAUUAGCUAGUUGGUUGAGGUAAUGGCUCACCAAGGCGACGAUCAGUAGCUGGUCUGAGAGGGUGAUCAGCCACAUUGGGACUGAGACACGGCCCAAACUCCUACGGGAGGCAGCAGUGGGGAAUCUUGCGCAAUGGGCGAAAGCCUGACGCAGCCAUGCCGCGUGAAUGAUGAAGGUCUUAGGAUUGUAAAAUUCUUUCACCGGGGACGAUAAUGACGGUACCCGGAGAAGAAGCCCCGGCUAACUUCGU